UGGGGAAUAUUGCACAAUGGGGGGAAACCCUGAUGCAGCGAUGCCGCGUGGAGGAAGAAGGUUUUCGGAUUGUAAACUCCUUUUAUCAGGGACGAUAAUGACGGUACCUGAAGAAAAAGCUCCGGCUAACUACGUGCCAGCAGCCGCGGUAAUACGUAGGGAGCGAGCGUUGUCCGGAAUUACUGGGUGUAAAGGGAGCGUAGGCGGGACGGUAAGUCAGAUGUGAAAUAUACGUGCUCAACAUGUAGACUGCAUUUGAAACUGCUGUUCUUGAGUGAAGUAGAGGUAAGCGGAAUUCCUAGUGUAGCGGUGAAAUGCGUAGAUAUUAGGAGGAACAUCGGUGGCGAAGGCGGCU
rnacentral:rRNA from 1 species